rnacentral:rRNA from 1 species
UACGAAGGGGGCUAGCGUUGUUCGGAAUUACUGGGCGUAAAGCGCACGUAGGCGGAUGUCUAAGUCGGGGGUGAAAGCCUUGGGCUCAACCCAAGAAUUGCCUUCGAUACUGGAUAUCUUGAGACCGGGAGAGGUGAGUGGAAUUCCGAGUGUAGAGGUGAAAUUCGUAGAUAUUCGCAAGAACACCAGUGGCGAAGGCGGCUCACUGGCCCGAUACUGACGCUGAGGCACGAAAGCGUGGGGAGCAAACAGG